AAGAGUUGCAAAACUCCCACAAACCAUCGCGAACGUUACCCAGACGUCGUUGCCUCGGCGGGCCUGACCGCCCGCCGGGGGGACGCUACCAGACUCUUGCAGUUACCCGGCCUCUCUGAGUAGAUUUUUAAAUAAGUCA
rnacentral:misc_RNA from 1 species